AUGGAUGACUUUGUUUCAUGGCACUACAACUGUACUGGGAUAUUCAUGGUUAAAACCGCAUAUCAUAUGGAGUGGCAGCAACAACACGGACGAAAAUUGAGGAGAACCAAUUCCAUGAUAUCCUCAAGUACUAGUCUGAUAUGGGGUAUCCUAUGGAAGCUUAAAGUCCCAACAAAGGUGAAAAUUCACUACUGGAGAGCACUAUUUGGGGCAGUUCCAUGUCGUGGUAUUAUGGCAAGUCGCCAUAUGAUUACUAGUUCACAGUGCCCUAUAUGCGGACUGGAUUGCGAGAGCCUGAGACACGCUUUCUUCAGGUGCCCAAGAGUUCAAGAAAUAUGGAGGUUGCUGGGAAUGGCAAAUAGAAUCAAUGAUCUGUGCAAGUUGGAAAGGGAAGGAUCUUCGGUGUUGGAUGAUUUAUUACUUGCACCCACGAUGCAGGCCCCUUUGCUUCCUGAUGUUAAUUGCAAGGAGCUAAUUGCAACAAUAGUUUGGUACUAAAAGAAUGGUCGAGCGCGUAUCAACAGACAUGGUUGGACCAAGCCGAGCGAGGGGCUUGUGAAGCUCAAUGUAGACGCAUCUUUCCCUGAGGAGAGUGGAUCAGGGACAUGAUCAAUCCUCCGAGAUGUGUGUGGGAUAUUCAUAGCUGCAUCUUGUAGCAGUAUACAGUUCGUCGAGGACGCAACAUUGGCAGAGGCCAGAGGGCUACGAGACAGACUAAUUUUGGCGAAUGAUAUAGAUUGCAACAACCUGGUAAUCGAGGCUGACUGCAUGAAAGUAAUCCAAGUGAUGCUCACUGGAGGCAACUUGAUGAGGACAUCAAUACCAUUGUUACACCCACAGCCCCUGCUGCUAUACAUACUGGACCAAUUACUAGAGCUCGCACACGCCAAUUGA
rnacentral:rRNA from 1 species